rnacentral:lncRNA from 1 species
AAGAAUCGAAAGAAUAAUGGAAAAAACUACCAAUAUAGGUUAUUUUGAAGAGUUGGACACAUUACCGAAAAAUUGGGGAAGAAGGGGAAGCAAAACUUACUAUAACUAAGGAUUAGAGCAACUGUUGAGGAGAAAUCGAUGGAAACAAUGAAAGAGCUAAAGUCGAUAGACAGCAAACAUACAGAUCCCUAAAAGUGCCCUUGUUCAUCCGGCAGAAAUCCCCUAAAUUUAAUGAUGCUGGGGAGAUGUUGAAUGCUUGUAGAGUUGUUAAAACUCUUAUCUCAAAUUAGCCGCAAGAAAUUUAACAAAAUGAUGAAGAAAGAUGGAGCAAAAGUAAGGAAGAGGAGAGUAAAAUUGCAGAGAAAAUGAACAUGAGAAAUGUGAGUCAAAGCAGCAAAAAAGGAAAGUAAAAUUGUACAGAUAGCUAAUUACCCUUACGUGGAUCGAGGUAGAACACGUG